UACAGAGGUCCCGAGCGUUGUUCGGAUUCAUUGGGCGUAAAGGGUGCGUAGGUGGCGCUGUAAGUGGGGUGUGAAAUCCCGGGGCUUAACUCCGGAACUGCAUUCCAUACUGCGGUGCUUGAGGACUGGAGAGGAGACUGGAAUUUACGGUGUAGCAGUGAAAUGCGUAGAGAUCGUAAGGAAGACCAGUGGCGAAGGCGGGGUCUCUGGACAGUUCCUGACACUGAGGCACGAAGGCCAGGGGAGCAA
rnacentral:rRNA from 1 species